GAUGAACGCUAGCGGCAGGCUUAACACAUGCAAGUCGAGGGGUAGGAGAAGCUUGCUUUUCUGAGACCGGCGCACGGGUGCGUAACGCGUAUGCAAUCUACCUUUCACAGAGGGAUAGCCCAGAGAAAUUUGGAUUAAUACCUCAUAGUAUAAUUGAAUGGCAUCAUUUAAUUAUUAAAGAUUUAUCGGUGAAAGAUGAGCAUGCGUCCCAUUAGCUAGUUGGUAUGGUAACGGCAUACCAAGGCAACGAUGGGUAGGGGUCCUGAGAGGGAGAUCCCCCACACUGGUACUGAGACACGGACCAGACUCCUACGGGAGGCAGCAGUGAGGAAUAUUGGACAAUGGGCGCAAGCCUGAUCCAGCCAUGCCGCGUGCAGGAUGACGGUCCUAUGGAUUGUAAACUGCUUUUAUACAGGAAGAAACACUCCCUCGUGAGGGAGCUUGACGGUACUGUAAGAAUAAGGAUCGGCUAACUCCGUGCCAGCAGCCGCGGUAAUACGGAGGAUCCAAGCGUUAUCCGGAAUCAUUGGGUUUAAAGGGUCCGUAGGCGGUCAGGUAAGUCAGUGGUGAAAGCCCAUCGCUCAACGGUGGAACGGCCAUUGAUACUGUCUGACUUGAAUUAUUAGGAAGUAACUAGAAUAUGUAGUGUAGCGGUGAAAUGCUUAGAGAUUACAUGGAAUACCAAUUGCGAAGGCAGGUUACUACUAAUUGAUUGACGCUGAUGGACGAAAGCGUGGGUAGCGAACAGGAUUAGAUACCCUGGUAGUCCACGCCGUAAACGAUGGAUACUAGCUGUUGGGAGCAAUCUCAGUGGCUAAGCGAAAGUGAUAAGUAUCCCACCUGGGGAGUACGAACGCAAGUUUGAAACUCAAAGGAAUUGACGGGGGCCCGCACAAGCGGUGGAGCAUGUGGUUUAAUUCGAUGAUACGCGAGGAACCUUACCAAGGCUUAAAUGUAGAUUGACCGUUUGGAAACAGAACUU
rnacentral:rRNA from 1 species